AUUCGUUCCAGGAUGGAAGGCCGAAAGAAGUCAGAGUCUGAUGGUAAUGGUGGCAGCGGCAGUGGGAGCCACAGGACUGGAGUCCUCUGCAAGAGACAAAGUUUUGGGAUGUGAUAAUCGAUGAACCUGGCAUCGACCCCACUGGCAGUUACCAUGGCGACAGUGACUUGCAGCUGGAGAGGAUCAGUGUGUACUACAAUGAAGCUGCUGCUAAAGGAGAUCCCUUGGAGUUUUGAAAGCACUUCCCCUGGAUGUUCCUUGGAUUCGGCUUCCUGUGCAGACUGCUCUUACAAAGGCAGCAUAGACCACGGGAGGAACAGAAAGGCAGACACUGUUCGUGAAUCAAAGGCUGAUGAAGUACAGCAGUGUGGCUGGAAAAGGCCCACAUGGAAGAGCACACAGGACAACCAUUUCUGAGCCAGGCUUUCUUCCUCGUGCUUGGCAAAUAUUUGCUGCAAAACUCCCCUGCAUGCGUUUAGCAAUGGCAAAAUUAGGCUCUGUUCAAAUAACUGGCUUCCUUCCCUUUAGAAGAGAAGAAAAUAUUGAUGUCAACCUCCCCG
rnacentral:lncRNA from 1 species